rnacentral:rRNA from 1 species
GCAGAGCUUGCUCUGUGGAUCAGUGGCGAACGGGUGAGUAACACGUGAGCAAUCUGCCCCUGACUCUGGGAUAAGCGCUGGAAACGGCGUCUAAUACCGGAUACGAGCUGCGAUCGCAUGGUCAGUAGCUGGAAAGAAUUUCGGUCAGGGAUGAGCUCGCGGCCUAUCAGCUUGUUGGUGAGGUAAUGGCUCACCAAGGCGUCGACGGGUAGCCGGCCUGAGAGGGUGACCGGCCACACUGGGACUGAGACACGGCCCAGACUCCUACGGGAGGCAGCAGUGGGGAAUAUUGCACAAUGGGCGGAAGCCUGAUGCAGCAACGCCGCGUGAGGGAUGACGGCCUUCGGGUUGUAAACCUCUUUUAGCAGGGAAGAAGCGAAAGUGACGGUACCUGCAGAAAAAGCGCCGGCUAACUACGUGCCAGCAGCCGCGGUAAUACGUAGGGCGCAAGCGUUAUCCGGAAUUAUUGGGCGUAAAGAGCUCGUAGGCGGUCUGUCGCGUCUGCUGUGAAAACCCGAGGCUCAACCUCGGGCCUGCAGUGGGUACGGGCAGACUAGAGUGCGGUAGGGGAGAUUGGAAUUCCUGGUGUAGCGGUGGAAUGCGCAGAUAUCAGGAGGAACACCGAUGGCGAAGGCAGAUCUCUGGGCCGUAACUGACGCUGAGGAGCG